CAGGUGGAGGAGCAGAAAGAAGUUGGACGUGCUCUCCCAACGAGGUGUUGGUCAAUGCCCUUGUCAGCAGUGGCCGCACCUGUGUUCUUGUGUCCAAGGAGGACGAGGAGGCUUCAUACUUGGACCGAAAGCUCCAUGGGAAGUGUGUAAAAAACCUCCAUAUGCUCUGCUCACAAACUUGAUAUGGUCGAGCAAUUUUACUUCUGCUGUUUCUGAUGAAGUGUACGUGUGGCUCUUCAUUUCCCAUUAGGUACUGUGUCUGCUUUGAUCCCCUGGAUGGCUCCUCCAACAUCGACUGCGGCAUGCCCAUCGGAAUGGUAUGCGCACAAGUAAUUUCACCACUUAAAAGGUUUAACGGAACACACAAUUAAUAAGAAGUUGGAGUCACUAUCUGACUUGAUUUGAUUGUCGGGCACAUGGAUAAAACAUGAUAGUCCACUUGUUCCGGAAGAGACAAAAGGAGUCUGCCCCCCCUCCUCCUCUCGCGCGACCGCGUUGUCCCCGCGGGCGACCGGCCGUGCUCCGGCGCCCCCUCCUCUAGAGCCCCCCCUUCCCUCCCUCCCCGCCGCCGUCGCCGGCACCCGCGGCCGGGCCUGGCCCCUGGGUCGCUGGCGGCGGCGGCCUCUAGCCCUUCCCCUCUCGGUGCUCCCCGGCGUGGGGCGGUGUGCGCCGGGAGGUGCUCUUCGGCAGCGGCGGUCCGACGUGGCGGCGGAGAUCCUGGCGCGGCGUGGGUGAACGACUGGGCGACGGCGUCGCCGUUGGCGGCGGGGUGGCGCGGCGGCUCGGCUUGAACCAGCCCUCUCAGCCCAGAUCUAGGCCCUUCGGGCCCCAUCUGGGUUUGGGAGGGCCGACGGCGGGUCGGGCCGGCGGCGUGGCCUCCAGGAGGCGGGAGAGGGGCGUUGGCGGCUGGGAGCGGGCGGCGUAGGUGCCGGCUUGCUGCAGCAUGGCUGAUGGGGCUUUGCGGGCCCGUUGCAGGCCUGGCCGGGCCAAGGGUGGCCUGGUGUGCCCUGCUGCCACGUCCGGACGGCGACCGCGACGUCACCGGGGGCUCGGGCCUCCCGCGCGUCGGCGGGGGAGGUGGUUCCCUCCCGCUUGGCUUCGGUGUGGUUCCUCCCGUCGCUUGGUGCUUCUUUCCGGUCUCCUUGGCCUCAUGGUGGUGUUCGCAGCGGGGCGGCGUGGAUGUGUCCAAGACCGUGGUGGCGCGUGCUUGCGGGUGGCAAGAUGGUUGGAUGGCCCCGGUUCGAGUGGGUAGCGGUGCUUGGGGAUGCGGGAGAAAUCUCUGCCGGUUCAUCCGGCUCCGACGCGGUGACACCUGAGGAUGCCAUCAUUCCUUCCUGAAGGGCGUCGGCACUACCCAUCCCCCGCUCCCCUCCGUAUGCCGGGGGAAACCCUAGGACAUGUCCGGACAACAACGUCGUUGGCGUCGCAUUCCUUCUUGGAGGUGCUGCUUGGUAUGCGGCGGUCCGGUGCCAUGGCGUGUGGUGGGACGAAGAUGGAGGGCGCUGCGGUGGCGGAUCAUAUGUGCUUGCCGAGCUGCCGUUGUUGGCUUUUAUUUCUUCUUCUUUUUCCCUUUUGGGCGUGUUGUGCCGUUCGCCCCGGCAAUUACCCUGUGAUCGGUCUCUGGUGCUUUAUAAUAUAAAGCGGGGGAAACCUUUUUUCGGUUAAA